ACCGCAUAAUGUCUACGGACCAAAGGGGGCUUCGGCUCUCGCCUUUAGAUUGGCCCAAGUGGGAUUAGCUAGUUGGUGAGGUAAUGGCUCACCAAGGCGACGAUCCCUAGCUGGUUUGAGAGGAUGAUCAGCCACACUGGGACUGAGACACGGCCCAGACUCCUACGGGAGGCAGCAGUGGGGAAUAUUGCACAAUGGGCGCAAGCCUGAUGCAGCCAUGCCGCGUGUGUGAAGAAGGCCUUCGGGUUGUAAAGCACUUUCAGUCAGGAGGAAAGGUUAGUAGUUAAUACCUGCUAGCUGUGACGUUACUGACAGAAGAAGCACCGGCUAACUCCGUGCCAGCAGCCGCGGUAAUACGGAGGGUGCGAGCGUUAAUCGGAAUUACUGGGCGUAAAGCGUACGCAGGCGGUUUGUUAAGCGAGAUGUGAAAGCCCCGGGCUCAACCUGGGAACUGCAUUUCGAACUGGCAAACUAGAGUGUGAUAGAGGGUGGUAGAAUUUCAGGUGUAGCGGUGAAAUGCGUAGAGAUCUGAAGGAAUACCGAUGGCGAAGGCAGCCACCUGGGUCAACACUGACGCUCAUGUACGAAAGCGUGGGGAGCA
rnacentral:rRNA from 1 species